rnacentral:lncRNA from 1 species
CAGCAUUUUCUCUUUAUAACAGGAGUUUGAGGAACUAGUAACAUUUUGACGUGUCCUAUAAGGUUCUCAUCAGAUGUAUGAAAUUUCAGGCUAUAAAGAUCAUUACAGACAAAUUUUACAGAAUUAUUACAAUUUAGGGACGCCUGGAUGGCUCAGCAGUUAAGCUCUGCUUUUGGCUCAGGGCGGGAUCCUGGAGUUCAGGGGUCCAGUCCCACAUUGGGUUCCCUGAGGGGAGCCUGCUUCUCUCUCUGCCUAUGUCUCUGCCUCUCUCUAUGUCUCUCAUGAAUAAAUAAAAUCUUAAAAAAAAGAAUUACAGUUUAUGCUUCACAGGCACACAUACACACACAGUUCUUAGUUUAACACAAUGAAAUUUACUUGACACUUUCUAAUAGUACAUUGUAUAUAUUCCUGGUCAGCUUGUGGUCUUCCUUGUGAUGAUUCAGUGACUCGAAAUGUUUCUAUCUUGUGACGCUCCAUCCACUCUAAGACCUAAAGACUCCUCUACCUAUGGCUGGCCGAUGAAGAAAAAGAACAAGAGGCAUACUGUCCCUGUCUACAGAGCAAAUUCAGCUUUUCCCUGGAGUAAAGGAAAAAACCUGCUCUCAAGAAAGGAUCCUAAGUAUCUUAGUUCCUGAAUGUGGAA